rnacentral:lncRNA from 1 species
AUGAUAUCUGCAGUGGUCUCAUCUCCAAAUAUGGCUGGGCCAAGACUUUCACACAGGGCUCAGGGACACGAUUUGGGUCCUGAGGAACAGGACAUCUGGACGCAGAGGUGGACCUGGAUGGGAGACUGCUAGCCAAGGAAGGCGGCUGGGGUAGAUCCUCCAUGAGGCCUCAAAAAGAAGCAGACCCAGCUCUGGACUUCAGACCCCCAAAUGGAACUACAGACUUCUGCCAAAGCCACACUGCCUGUGGAACUCUGCUCUUGCACAAUCCAGGCCCCCAACAUCUCCUCCUGUGUUAUUCUGGCCAUGGGAACAACUGUGAUCCAUGGCAGAGGCUACAUCAGCAAACAUGGAC